CAGACCUAUGCUUGUGAUUGUUCACUGCCCUCUGUGAUAAGUUUAUCGAUUAUUUUCUGUCCUGUUGACUUUCAUGCACGUUAUUAACCCAGGACAUUGCAUGUUCUCAAACAGCAAAUGGAAUUAUGAGUGGAAGAUGCUGCUGCCUGGAAGGUCUGCCGCCAUGCUGCCCAUCAGAGAAUCGCCUUAGGAGUGAGGAUCACAAAAACAACUUGGCACUGGGACCUGCGGGGAGCCCCACCUUGCUGCAGUGUCAGCUGGAUUCCUCCUGACCUCACAUCUGUGUUCACAUGAGUUUUGCUGAGAUUGGGAAGUUAGAGUGAAGAAUGUUUGACCUUGACCCGGGUGAGUUUCCAGUUUGGCUAUCUGUGAUCAUAACAAGGUUCUACGUCAGCUUAUGGAAACGGUGUGAUGGGAAUCUGCCUGAAGAAAAGCUCACAGGAUUGGAUCCUCACUCUGUUCCCUCCCUUUGAACUGGUGAAACCCAGAUGUUUAACGAGAGGCACAAGGAUAUGAUUUGGGCUCUGCCUUCUGUGCCAGUAUCUCUGAGGAUAAUUGUCCCUCUCCCAAGGACACCCCUUCCCACCACAGAGGAGACAGCGACAACUGCCGCAGAGGAGAUGGAUGGUACCGCCAUUCCCCAGAGCCCCUCAGACAAGGUGACCCUGCAGAAAGCCCGUGCACAAGUCAUGGAGCACCAGUGCAACAGCUUACAUCAGGGUGAGAGGAGACUCAAACCAGGUAGGCUGAAGUCAAAGCAACAAGGACACCAAGUCAUAUGUGAAUUUUUUUUUUAAAAAAACAUCUGAUUAGUAUUUCAAACACCUUUGUACACCUAGGUAAUCUUAAAGUGUGAUCACCUAAUGACUGGCCUGCUAGAAAUGGAUGCUGGAGUCUGAUGAAUGUCACCUUAUCUGGAUUUGGGGAUGGGGGGCUGUCCAUUCCAAGUCCUGCUGUGUCCAAACCCUAUAUAAGACACUUACAAACCACAUUUUACACCGAAGAAAACUGUAACACAGCUCAAUAGUCAGCCAAGCCGACUGCAGUUUUAGUCUCUCUAAAACACCAUCCCAACUAUUAUCGGCAUCCAUAGCUAAGAUACGUUGUAAAUAAAGCUGUUCAGUGGGCACUAAAUUCCUUUUAGAUUAAAAUUAACAUUAUCCCAAUCCAUGCACCAAAACCUGGGCGUGUAUACAUUACGUUCCUUUAAACAGUGGUGCAAUGAAGAUCAACAUAUUCCCAGCUUUUAAAUCACAAAAGAUGAUUACACUGAGGCGAAUGAAAACUGAAGCAUAUCGACAAGCUUGCUUUUUUUUUUCCGCCCUGUAGGAAAUGACUGUAGAUGUAGGCAGUCUAGUGUUUCACAGAAGUACUGUGUUUUAUCUAAAUAAAUAUAUAGCUAGGAACAGUCAUGAAGGUUAAAGGGCAUCUGUAAAGAGAAAACUAUGAUUCCCAGACUCUUUGUUAAGUUUAUUUAGUAGAGGGACUAGAGAAAGUUUCAGAUUGGGCUGUAAAGUGCUAAUAGUCCAACUAGAUAAAUGUUAGCUUCCCAAGUCUGGAUGCCAGAAGAAACUGUAACAUGGUUAAGAGCUGACACAAAAUUCUUCUAUCCAAGAAAAACAUGUUAUUCUGCACAAAAAUUAGGGUAUAAAGUAUUAUAUCUCAGUAUAACAUUGAUGUAUUAUUCUUUUUCAAUUUCUAGCCUUCAGGACGGUGCAGUGUUAUUGGUCUAUAUAAAUCCUCCCAUGCAUAAAUUUAUUUUUAAAAUUGUUAAGUGGAAACCAUCAACCUAGGCUUCAUAAUUUAAAAUUUAUUUUUAUUCACUGUUGCCUAUAAUUACUUCUUAGAAAUUUAAAGCUGAAAUAGGUUUCCUCUCUAAAUUUAUUUUUCCUGUAUCACACAUCCAUAAAGAUUUAUCAACAUAGAGCACUUGCACAAAUUCUGAACCACUGGAAUUGCUCUUCUGUCCAGAAUUGAAUUAAUUUACACAGGGACAGCGAUGGCGGGAUUAGGCCUUAAUUACAGCAACACUUUCACAAGCAAAACAGGUUGAAUUUAACAAGUUUAUCAUUGAUAAUCAUUAACAACAACCUGCUCAGUGAGUAUUUCACAAUUAAUUUCACAACAUGCAUCAGGUAAUGCUCCAAACAGGGACAUUUUUGCCUGUUCAGUUACCCUGUACCAACAGAGUUUGCUUCCUGACCACGAUCAGGAUAACACCAGGCCAUCUGGACCCAUCUGUUAUCUCUGAAAUCUGAAAGAAGGGUUAUUUUUAAAACUAUGUCUCGUCAUUUCAUCCUCCAGGUACAACUGAAGCUUCUAGGAAUUAAUUAUUCUUCAGAUAACACAGCAUUUCCUGUCUAAGGCUCACUGGUUUAACACAACCUCUGGAAAUAUUUAAGUUAGACUAAUAUGUUAUAGCUACGUUGUUUGCAAACUCUUUGAAAAGCGGCAAAUCAAAGCAUUCUCUCUCCCCAGCCGGAUGUUAAAUUUUGUAUCUCUUUACACGGUGGGACCAAAUCAUGCCCCCAUUUUCACCUGUACAAUCACACUAAAAACAGUGGAAAAAGGUAAGUGAAAAAAAGCAAAUGUUAAGUGAGGUCAUUGUUCCUUUCUUGCUCAACAAUAAGAAGAUUUCACAUAGCAACGCUCUCUGGGAAACAAUCCAUUUUAGACCAAAUUAGUCCCAGCGGUAAUGUUGAUUUUUAGCAACUGUGUUGCACCAGGGAUACAUUUAAUCCCACUGUUCUUUGUUGUUCUCAUUAAUAAGCCACAUUAUGUCACUCAGUCUGCAUGCAAAAGUAUCAUUACUGUUAUUUAAUUACUUUGUUUUUGUAAGAAAAACUACCAGAUUUGGUUGCGUAUAACCAGUAAAUGUGGCCAAAUCAAAGUUGUGCACUCCAACCCAAAUAUUUUUUACUUUGUUUCUACACAUAUAAUUGCAUGUAAUUUAUAGUUGUGUACAGAAUUUUUACGAUAAAACCUCAUUAAUCACAAAUUCAUCAAUGCAGUGAAAAUACAUCCAAGCAAACGUGCUAUAAUGUUACAAACAUAAGACAUGUUUUAGCAUGGAAAGAGGCCAGGAUCCCCAUCUUCAUCUAUCCCCUAAUGUUACAUAAAUGACUAAGUCAUCAUAUCAGUGGUUUUCACAUGGAAAUAUAAACACCACUGAAAUUCCAUACGCUAUAAAUGGCCGUGACUCUAGAGUGCUUAAAAUUACCAAGAGUACCAUAAGAAUAGUGUACACAAUAUCCAUUGAAGGAUGAGAACAGCCAAGGCAGCGCUGGCAGCGUGGUGCAGUUGAUACGGGGCAUUAAUUGCCAUCCAGGCUUCUGCUCCCGGGCGCGUUGCCACCUUCCCCUGUGCCCUCACACACAGGUUCCUUCAGACCUCUGGCCGUUCAGUUGCCUCCAGCUCCUGCAGCGCUUGUGGUUAUACUUCCGUCACUCUGGUUAUUUAGCUCUGAAGACCUAGCAUGCAUGUGUACAGCUCCUGAGAGAAUAGGGUCUUGAACUUUUUUUUAGCUCCCGAAGCCCUACUCUAGCACUAAUAAAAAAUAACCUCUCAUGUAGGGCACUGUGGACCCAGCUUCGCAAUCUUCCGCAGCACCUAAGAGCCGAAGUCAGCGGAGUUGCUCCUAAUCCAUAGCAGCAUCCAGCUUCUUCAGUUCUGCAACCCCGUGUUGGAAUUUCCUGAUUUAGAUCCGGUCAUUUGUUUCUUCAUGGGAAUAAAAGGAAUCAAAAAAUCUCCCAGCUCUUCGACAGUUCAUUAUUUGCAAUAGCAAUACGAUGAAGGAAAAUCCCCUGGUAGCAGUGCAGCACAGUGCACUCAGGUACACACCAAGGAGUGAAAUAACAGAGAAGAGGGUUCUGACACGGUAGCAGGAAUGCAGUGCAAACCCUAGCACUCCCGUUGGAUCACCUAUUCACAUCCCUCCAUCCUGAGGCCUACAACAAGCGUGUCUGAAUCAGUAAAUCAGAAAGAGACUGGAGAGGUGGAAGUGGCUCUUGCCGGCAGCGGAAGCACGGUGCAGAGUCAGGCGGAAAGCAAGAGCCUGGAGUCCCCACACGCGGGGUGAUCCGAGCCCGCGGUGCCCGACGUGACUGACCGCAAGGUGUUAAACGCCUUCAAAUCCCAACAAAAUCAGCGGAGCGGGGUGCUCUCAGAAGCUGCUGAGCAUCCUGUUUCAUCCCAGGCUGCCGGGGAGCUGCCGCCGGGGCCGCGGCCGUCCCCCUGCUGGGUAGCUGUCAUGGAAAAGGGGCUCACUCCUGUCAGUGUUUUGUGUGUUCCAUGGUUGUAGGCAAAGAGGUAAAAUGGGAGGGCAACGCUCUUUCGGAUUUACAGGGCGGCUCAGCCAAAAAAAACCUCCUAAAACUCUGGUUUGCCAAAAAUGGCAACGUAACCAGGAACAAAAUCUAAUUUGUGAACUUCAGUGGGAAAAUAUUACAAUCCAGAAUCUUUAAAUGAAAACAAAACAAAAAAACCCACCCAAAAACCCAAACCAAACAAACAGAAAAACAAACCCAAGAAAAUACUUUGUAAAUGUGUUAGACUUUGCUUUUUCACACUUUUAAAAAAGGCUGGACAGCAUUUUUCUACAAUGUCCAUGGGAGCCCUUUCAGAUGUUGCGCUGUGUUUACAGUAUCAAUUGUUUACGAUAAUUAUGAAAUUAAAAUAAGCCACAUAACCAUGUAUUUAGGCAUUCCUUAUGAACUGUAACCACUGAACAAACUACUUGGAAAACACAACCACAUGCUGUAUUUCUCAGCUGUUAUUUGAAGAUUUUUUUUUCCUAAUCUGAAAAUAAUAUAUAAACAGCACAGAUAUAAAAUAAAAUGAGAUGUAGAUUUAGAGAAUAUUUAAAACUACAGGUGAAAAGAAAAACUACUACUGAGACUUGACUGAAUAAAAAGUUUUUCUUAAGAGCAUGUAAAAUUCCUAAGUAUACCUUAAAACAAGUAAACAUUUUAAAUAGAUUUUUCUCAGGAAAUCUAGCCACCUGUUUUUGUAUAUUUACUGGAGAGGGAAAAAAGAUAGA